rnacentral:rRNA from 1 species
CGCCCUUGUGCCAAGCAGCCGCGGUAAUUCCAGCUCCAAUAGCGUAUAUUAAAGUUGUUGUGGUUAAAAAGCUCGUAGUUGGAUCUCAACAGCCUUGAAGCGGUUAACUUUGUAGUUUUACUGCUUUAUAGGCUGUGCUUUUGCUGGAGGUUUAGGGGUGCUCUUGAUCGAGUGUCUCUGGAUGCCAGCAGGUUUACUUUGAAAAAAUUAGAGUGCUCAAAGCAGGCUAAAAUGCCUGAAUAUUCGUGCAUGGAAUAAUAGAAUAGGAUGUCGAUCCUAUUUUGUUGGUUUUCGGGACUCGACAUAAUGAUAAAUAGGGACAGUCGGGGGCAUUUGUAUUCAAACGACAGAGGUGAAAUUCUUGGACCGUUUGAAGACAAACUACUGCGAAAGCAUUUGCCAAGAAUGUUUUCAUUAAUCAAGAACGAAAGUUAGAGGUUCGAAGGCGAUUAGAUACCGCCCUAGUUCUAACCAUAAACGAUGCCAGCUAGCGAUCUGCCUGCGUUUUUACUGUAGACUGGGCAGGAAGCUUCCGGGAAACCAAAGCAUUUGGGUUCCAGGGGAAGUAUGGUUGCAAAGCUGAAACUUAAAGGAAUUGACGGAAGGGCACCACCAGGAGUGGAGCCUGUGGCUUAAUUUGACUCAACACGGGAAAUCUCACCAGGCCCGGACACUGGAAGGAUUGACAGAUUGAUAGCUCUUUCUUGAUUCGGUGGGUGGUGGUGCAUGGGCCGUUCUUAGUUGGUGGAGUGAUUUGUCUGGUUAAUUCCGAUAACGAACGAGACUCUGUCCUGCUAAAUAGUUUCUACUUCUCUUUUGAGUAGAAAUUUCUUCUUAGAGGGACUGGUGACUCUUAGUCACACGAGAUUGAGCAAUAACAGGUCUGUGAUGC